rnacentral:SRP_RNA from 1 species
GCUGGGCAUGGUGGUGUGUGCCUGUAAUCCCAGCUACUCGGGAGGCUGAGGCAGGAGAAUUGCCUGAACCCAGGAGGUGGAGGUUGUGGUGAUCCGAGAUCAUGCCAUUGCACUCCAGCCUGGGUAACAAGAGCGAAACUCUGUCUCAAAAAAAAAAAAAAAAAAAAAAAAAAAAUUGGCUAGAUAUACCAAAAAGUGUUCGACUAAUCUGUUUUUUGCUUUUUUUUUUGAGACAGAAUCUUGCUCUGUUGCCUAGGCUGGAGUGCAGUGGUGUGAUCUCAGCUCACUGCAACCACCACCUCCUGGGCUCAGGUGAUUCUCCUGCUUCAG